rnacentral:rRNA from 1 species
CGCGUAGGCGGCCUAAUAAGUUAGAUGUGAAAUCUCAGAGCUCAACUCUGAAACUGCAUUUAAUACUGUUAGGUUAGAGUACAAAAGAGGAAGAUGGAAUUCUCGGUGUAAGAGUGAAAUCUGCAGAUAUCGAGAGGAACACCAGUAGCGAAAGCGAUCUUCUGGGUUGAUACUGACGCUGAGUGCGCGAAAGCUAGGGGAGCGAACG